UUUCACAAUUUCCAUGACAAGUUCGACCUCGGUUAAAAAAGGUUAGGGUUUGUUUAGAUUUAAUUAUGUCAAAAAUUCUGCAACAGGGGUGGGGGAUAUAGCCACGUUAGUGGCAAACUCUUGUUGCAUUAGCAAUGAUUCAAUGUUGAUUCAUACAUGGUCAUCAAGCUGGAGUGUUGUUAUCCAUAAUGUUGUACGUUUUCUUAUUUACUCACCAAGUUCUAGAAUGCCAUUGGAACAGUCACCAGCUGAUCUGUAUGCCUGAGGUCAUAAUAUAUUUUAUCCUCCUAGACUGAAAUUAUUUCUAACAUAUUUUUUUUUAUAUAGAAGGGAUUAAAGAAUAUUAUUUGGAGAAAUAUAAUUUUGAACACAUCAUUAAACAGAAAAUAUAUAUCACAAAUGAAGUCUGUAAUGAAAUGCUUCUCCCCUGACAGGCAAGAAAAGUGCUGAUGAAAAACGACAAAAUAACAUUUUUGAAUCCAUCGAUAGGGACUCACGUGUGACACACGUCAAGGUCACAUUAGCAGGGCACUGUUUUUCAGUAAUUUAAGUUCAAGUUUGUUUUGCAAUUUAGGCCAUACCAAUUGGAGUACUUGAUUUACAGAUCUGACUGUCACUUGUUAGCGCUUUCCCCCCAAAUAACAGGAAAUAAUUGCAUUAAGGAACCUUUUAUCUUAGUGCCCUCUUAAAUUUUACAAUUACCAUGACAUGUUGACAUGUGGCUCACUCGAACAAACAAAAUUGAAUAAAAUAACACCUCAAAAUGUGUGUGUGUGUUUUACAGAAUAGAGAAAUACACACAAGGCAAUAAUAAAUUUAGUCCAUGAUUUCUUUAUUUAUUAAAGAGAUUUGUUUUGUUGUAUUUCUCUCUUCUCUUCAGUAAUUUUUUUGGACAAAUCCUUACGGCAAGUAAUUCAGGAAUUUAUCUAGGAUUCCAAAGUAAGUGUCUUUUGGGGAAAAUCAUGAUAUUGUUAAAAAAUUGGAUGUAUUUAAUGUUCUAAUGUUUGUACAUUCUGAGGAAUAGGGAAUUUUUAAAGUCAGAUUGGGAAUUUUUACUGUCAUUUGCUUCAGACUUGGGUCUGAAUAUCGACCUGAUUGGGUCUAGAUAUAUCCCAGUAACUAUAUUGGUCUGGCCUUGAAAUAUUUUAGAAGCAGCAAGUUAAGAUUUAGGUUAAAUGAUGGAUUUCAUUUGUACUGCAGGGUUUGCUAAUGUCAUAGCAGUGGUAGGGAGAGUAGCACUUGAAGUCACUGAGAAAGUUGAAAACAUUGUGUAGAUCAGUCGUUAGUGACUGUUGACCAGUUACAUAAUGUUAGAUGAAUGAGUGAGUGAUUAGUGUCACUUUGAACAGUAUUUCAGUUAUACCACAGCAUGUCAUCUUAUUGUGGGGGGAAGGCCCAAAGUGAUGCAGGAUAUUUACCACUUUGGUGAUACCCAUGACCACUGUUACGAUGUUUAUAAACAAAAAAACAUAAUCAAGGCAAAUCUGGGAUUCAUUCAGACUACAAAUGUACUGUGCGAAAUUGUGAAGCCUUAGACAGCUGGGCCACCCGUUCCUCUACUUCCAGGUGAAUGUCGCCAUGAUCUGGACGGGACGAGAUGAUGGCCAUCUUGUAUGUAGUCAUGCUUGCUGUUAAAGGCGACUAUGCUUGUCAGAUACGACUAACGGGAUCGGGUGGUCAGACUCGCUGACUUGGUUGAUGCAUGUCAUCGAUCUCAAUUGUUCGGAUCGAAGCUCAUGAUGUCAAUCACUGGAUUGUCUGGUCCAGCCUCGAUAAUUUACAGACCGUUGUCAUAUAGCUGGAAUAUUGCUGAGUGCGACGUUAAACAACAAACAAACAAAACAAUUCUUUCAUAUAGUUGAUCCCUCAUGCUGUGAUUCUUAAUUUUUUUUGAGUAGUAUAUUUAUGAUUUUCUUUGCUGUCAUGUAUGUUUUCUUUACACUGAUGUAUGAUUUCUUGUGUCCAGUAUGUACACAAUAGAAACAGUUGAUGGAACCUAACAACUAAGGGUACUUGGUAUUACCGGUAUAUUGGUAUAUUGAGGUUCACUCUUUCCACGAUACGUAUCACAAUAUCAUGUUUGAAUCUCGGUAUACUGGGUGAUUUCGCUAUUAUUUAUUAUGUGUUUAAUGUUAUACUUGCCAAAUACCCAUGUUUAUUUAUUAAAUGCGUAAACAUUACGUUGUACCAGCAUCUUGUGUUGUUCCAUUUAUGAACUUCAGUUCAAACACUGCUGUUUCAAAUUGCUUCUGAAUUCAAAAUUAAGAUUUUAUACAAUAUGUUGUGAUACGUAUUGUAAUCAUGGCCUUGUGCAUCGUAAAAUAUUGUGAUACAUUGUAAAACCUCCGGUAUCCAUCCCCACUGAGAACUGUACAUACAUCUAUACUUCUUGUCACCAUUGAUGUAAGACUUUAUUGAACAGGACGUUUACUGCUCCAUCAAGACAGUCCGCCUUGAUAUGUUGUGGACUGAUUAAGAAGAGGGUUAGAAAGCCGUUGCAGAUACUUGUCGUAGGAGAAUAUUUCUUUUCACAAGGUUUACAUGUUGUAUAUUUUGUAACAGAUAUUUUUUCCCCACUUGUAAGCAGUGUUUAUGUGUCCCAUAUUUCCAAUGUAUUUGUGUUUGUUGUUAUUUUGGGAGAUGUGCUGUCAAGGUAGAAGUAGCCUUUCAUUGAAACCUGCCUUGUUCACUUUCCAUGGUGAUAAGGGGUGGACCAUUUGAAUUUGUGUGUGUGUGGGGGGGGGGCUGGGAUUUUGUAGCCAUUUUUUCAGCUACAUCUCAAAAAACAUUUUUUUUAAUUAAAACUUGUUUACCUGAAAUAGAUUGCAACAGUGUAUCUUUAGUGGUUAACAAUUUCCUUUUUUUUCAAUGUUCAGAAGCACAAUGAUUUCAUAAAGCAUUUUCUGGCACAAUUUUCUUUUUCAAUAAAUUCCCAGGCCCAACCCUACAAUAUCAAAUGGUCAGUCCUCAAAGACUUCUAUAUAUAUGCCUGGCUUACACUUUCAGGAUGAAAAUCUGCCAACUUUAAACUUGUCCAAUGAAUAUGAUAACAUUUUGUGAAUGGAUGUAAUGUGGAAGUAGCCAUGAUGGUGGGAACAGAGGAGAUGCAGGAGCAUGGCUGUCUUCAAGGCAGUGAUAUGCUUUUGGCUACUUUUGAACUUUCACUCUUUCAGAAGUUAGGUAAAGUAAUACUGAGUCAUUUUGUUGAAAUAAUUCAGAUGUAUUAUUUUAUCUUUCGAUAUCGUUGCUUAAUAUUACCCUGAUCUCACAUGAGUGUUUAAACUGAUUCCUGUGAUACAGCUCCAUUGUUAUGUCAUGUUGCCCAGCAAUGGCGCUACUGGUUACCCAUGAAGAAAGUGCUCAAACUAACACUGUCAUGCAUAGCCAGUACCCUGACACUUCCAACCAUGUGUACAACACAAUCUUAACAAAUAGGCCCAGCAUCACAACACUCAGUCUCUGCGCUACAGCACAAUGCAACAUACACCCAGCCCUGCAACACACCACAUAGACCCAGCAAUACAAGAUACCAUUAAGACCCAGCACAACAACACAACACAUAGACCUAGCUGUACAAAACAACAUUAAGACCCAGCACAACAACACAACACAUGGAUUCGGCACUACAACACAAUGCAACAUACACCCAGCCCUGCAACACACCACAUAGACCCAGCAAUACAAGACAAUAUUAAAACCCAGCACAACAACACAACACAUGGAUUCGGCACUACAACACAAUGCAACAUACACCCAGCCCUGCAACACACCAUAUAGACCUAGCUGUACAAAACAACAUUAAGACCCAGCACAACAACACAACACAUGGAUUCGGCACUACAACACAAUGCAACAUACACCCAGCCCUGCAACACACCACAUAGACCAUGCAAUACAAGACAAUAUUAAAACCCAGCACAACAACACACCACAUGGAUUCGGCACUACAACACAAUGCAACAUACACCCAGCCCUGCAACACACCACAUAGACCCAGCAAUACAAGACAACAUUAAGACCCAGCACAACAACACAACACAUGGAUUCGGCACUACAACACAAUGCAACAUACACCCAGCCCUGCAACACACCACAUAGACCCAGCAAUACAAGACAACAUUAAGACCCAGCACAACAACACACCACAUGGAUUCGGCACUACAACACAAUGCAACAUACACCCAGCCCUGCAACACACCACAUAGACCCAGCAAUACAAGACAACAUUAAGACCCAGCACAACAACACAACACAUGGAUUCGGCACUACAACACAAUGCAACAUACACCCAGCCCUGCAACACACCACAUAGACCCAGCAAUACAAGACAACAUUAAGACCCAGCACAACAACACACCACAUGGAUUCGGCACUACAACACAAUGCAACAUACACCCAGCCCUGCAACACACCACAUAGACCCAGCAAUACAAGACAACAUUAAGACCCAGCACAACAACACAACACAUGGACCCGGCACUACAAUAAACCAGCACAGUGACACCAUUCUGCAGCCACCCACCCACUCCAUGUCAACAGCUCAUUACCAGAACCUCAGCAGUAGCAGCUUGUAUGUAGAAUGUGGCAGAACAUAAUAUUGGUGUCAGUUGAGUUAGUUGUCAUAAGCCGAGACUUUCCUACCCUGGUUACAGUUUCUUUAGAAGUGAUCUGUUAGACUUGUCAACUAUUGAUGGGGAUACUGUGAGAAGCCAGAUAAAUGUGACUGCAUGGAUAUGUGAAAUCUGUCGAUAUUGCCACGAAACACUUUGCUUUUUAGAACACAUUUGCAGAAGAUGUCCACUGUGUUUCAAUAAAGAGAUAAACAUACAGUUUUGAAGUGUCAAACAGAUUUGAUUACUGUAAAUUUCAUUGAAAUGAGUGCAUUAGCUUGAGGUUUGAAUUGAAAAAUCAGAAUAUGUUGGUAUGGGGGCUUUCUGUUACAAAAUAUUUUGACAUGCUAUAAAUGAUCCAGAAAUAACCUGCAACACAGUGUUUCCACUUGAUAACAUAAUGAGAGUAAAUGUUGCCAGGUUUGGGAAAGGAGUGCUUUCAAAAAAAUAUUUCCUGUCCAGUGGAAUCAGACCAAUCAGAAUACAGAGCUCAUGAUUGUAAUUGUAGAAUAUGAAAUAUGUGAGUAUCCCUAUCAGAAGUUGAGUAGUAUAUUUACAUGUGUUACCUGUUGAUUAUCAAUUAAUGUAAAUGUGAUAACAUUGAUUCCUCAUCAAUCUGUGCUAACAUGGUGGUUAUGGAAAGUGAGGUGCUUGUUGUGCAAACAAAGGUAGAAUAGGUCCAACAUUUUUAUGCUUGUUGAAACUUAAAAGGGGAUUGCCGGACCACAACUUUCAAUAGAAUUUCAUUUAUAUAUUUAAACAGUAUUUUGUGAAUCCAAUGUACAAAUGCAACUUAUAAUUGAAAGUCAGAGGAUUGGCAAACAGGUUAAGCAUGAUGGAUCUUGUCAGUUAAGAGAAUUGAUUGACUACCAGAGGAGCCUAUUGUCCCUUUCAAGGGAGCCCUAUAUCUUACCCAGAUGGCAUGGAGAGGUCACACAUUCUGGACAUUGGGCUGCCUGCUUUGUAGCAUUGCAGAACAUUUGUGACAUUAGGAUGUCUUAACAGGAUGUGAAGCAUGUGAUCCAUCUGUGUGUGAUGAAUGAUAUUGAUAUAUGUAUUAAUUGAUAGCAUUGACACAUGAUUUGUACAAGAAUCGAUUUGCAACAGACCUUGCAUUUGAAGAUUCUAGGUAGCUUGAUUACUUUGUUAAUAGUCUUUGUGUUGGACCUGGUAUGUAGAAAAGGAUAAUAGAGACUUGCAAUGUCAUCAGUUAGCUCCCCAUUUGAAAAUGUUCUUUGAAAAGUUCAGAAAUCCUAUAUCCACAGUGAUUAAAUUGUUUAUUUUCAUGUGAGCAUAUCAGCUGAUCAGUAGGUGUGGACAUAUCUCCCCAAACUCAUUCUUCUUCAACAUAGUGGUUCUACUUCAGGAAGUGUUGCUGUGGAGAACAUAUUUGUAUCAAUGUUGGGAUACACUCGUUUUUCUGUCUGUAAGAAGUUGAAUAAGUGAGUUAAUGUUGAUAAAGGACAUUGCAAUGCCUUGGCUGUAGGUAUGUUAGGGGGUAUUAAAGGAGGACAUUGCAUCGCCUUGGCUGUAGGUAUGUUAGGGGGUAUAAAGGAGGACAUUGCAAUGCCUUGGCUGUAGGAAUGUUAGGGGGUAUUAAAGGAUGACAUUGUAUUGCCUUGGCUGUAGGUAUGUUAGGGGGUAUUAAAGGAGGACGUUGCAUCGCCUUGGCUGCAGGUAAGUCAGGGAGUAUAAAGGAGGAUAUUGCAUCGCCUUGGCUGUAGGUAUGUCAGGGGGUAUAAAGGAAGGACAUUGCAUCGCCUUGGCUGUAGGUAUGUCAGGGGGUAUAAAGGAAGGACAUUGCAUCGCCUUGGCUGUAGGUAUGUCAGGGGGUAUAAAGGAAGGACAUUGCAUCGCCUUGGCUGUAGGUAUGUCAGGGGGUAUAAAGGAAGGACAUUGCAUCGCCUUGGCUGUAGGUAUGUUAGGGGAUAUAAAGGAAGGACAUUGCAUCGCCUUGGCUGUAGGUAUGUCAGGGGGUAUAAAGGAAGGACAUUGCAUCGCCUUGGCUGUAGGUAUGUCAGGGGGUAUAAAGGAAGGACAUUGCAUCGCCUUGGCUGUAGGUAUGUCAGGGGGUAUAAAGGAAGGACAUUGCAUCGCCUUGGCUGUAGGUAUGUUAGGGGGUAUUAAAGGAGGACAUUAUAUCGCCUUGGCUGUAGGUAUGUUAGGGGAUAUUAAGAGAGGCCAUUGCAUUGCCUUGGCUGUAGGUGAGUCAGGGAGUAUAAAGGGUGACAUUGUAUUGCCUUGGUUGUAGGUAUGUUAGGGGAUAUAAAGGGAGGACAUUGCAUCGCCUUGGCUGUAGGUAUGUUUGGGGGUAUGAAGGGGGACAUUGCAUCGCCUUGGCUGAAGGUAUGUCAGGGAGUAUAAAGGUGAACACUGCAUCGCCUUGGCUGUAGGUAUGUAUGUUAGGGGGUAUAAUGGGGAACACUGCAUAGCCUUGGCUGUAGGUAAGUCAUGGGGUAUAAAGGUGAACACUGCAUCGCCUUGGCUGUAGGUAUGUAUGUUAGGGGGUAUAAUGGGGAACACUGCAUAGCCUUGGCUGUAGGUAAGUCAUGGGGUAUAAAGGGGAACAUUGCAUUGCCUUGGCUUUAGGUAUGUAUGAAGGGGUUAAUCUGUGAAUAACAACUUUAUAUUUUGAUGCAUUGUCAUAUAUUAUACAUACAUAUAUACAUAUAUUUUCUUUAUGAAUAAAAUGUCAUUUACUA
rnacentral:lncRNA from 1 species